rnacentral:rRNA from 1 species
UCUACGUGUGGCAGCAGUGGGGAAUAUUGGGCAAUGGGCGCAAGCCUGACCCAGCAACGCCGCGUGAAGGAAGAAGGCUUUCGGGUUGUAAACUUCUUUUAAGAGGGAAGAGCAGAAGACGGUACCUCUUGAAUAAGCCACGGCUAACUACGUGCCAGCAGCUGCGGCAAUACGUAGGUGGCAAGCGUUGUCCGGAUUUACUGGGUGUAAAGGGCGUGCAGCCGGGAAGACAAUGCAGAGUUGAAAGCCCGGGGCUCAAACGCGGAACUGCAUUUGAAAAUGUUUUUCUUGAGUCCCGGAGAGGUCAUCGGAAUUCGUUGUGUAGCGGUGAAAUGCGUAGAUAUAAGGAAGAACACCAGUGGCGAAGGCGGAUGACUGGACGGCAACUGACGGUGAGGCGCGAAAGCGUGGGGAGCAAACAGGAUUAGAUACCCCUGUAGUC